CCGUGGUCCAAAGGGUAGACAUGAGUAGAUCAGCCCAUGAAUAUAGAGAGAUAAAUGGUGACUGAACACUGCAAUGAAUGUUUUCCUCCAGGGAGACAGAGAACCAUGGCUCAUACACACUCUUGCCUGAGGCUAUACCUGGACACAAUGACGCUAUGAGAUCUAAAGAUGAUGUUUCUCAACAUGUGGAUCUUGGCUACUCGUAUCCAGAUUAUCUUUGGUGAUUGUUAGAAAUGCAGGUUCCUGGGCUGCAACUCCACCCCCUGAAUCCUAGUCUCUGCUGUUGACCUGAGCAUCUGCACUUUUUAAUUGAGACUGCUCAAGCACAUUAAAAUUUAAGCGCUACUUCCUCAAGGCCUAAAAAGAGGCAUAAUAGUCUCUCUUGGUAAAACUGGACUGGGAAACAGGGAUGACCAGAUCCCAAACAGGUCCUUUAGGAGUUAAAGUUGUGCACAUUUAAGCCCCAAAUUCUACUUGAUGGCAAAGAUUUCAAACCAUGAACACAGAAAGCAAUUCUGAACUGGUAGUCUUAGGCACCUCACAGAAUUAAAUGCAAAACCUCUCUGAAGGAAUACACCUUCAUCCUAGGCUUCAAAGUAAUUCUCUGAGGAACUCACAGUUGAAGUGAACAAACCACACAAAGAAACAAGCCAUCAGGAAUGAAUGCCAGCAGAAACAACAGACUGUCCAGAUACCUGAAAUAUCAGGCAUAGACUUAAAAAUAACUCUGUAUAUUGUGUUUAAAGAAAUAAAAGACAAAGACGAAAAAAGCUUCAAGAAGAGAAAAUGGUGACCAAGGUUGAAAAAUAACCAAAAAGAACUUCUAAGGCAACACAAAAUGUGUGUGUGUACAAAAUCACUGAAAUUUAAAAGUCAGUGGAUUGACUGUCAUCAGGCACAAAAAGAAAUUUCUAGGGAAAUAAAAACAUUCUACAACUGGAAUGAGGUGACUGUUGCACAACACUAUAAAUUCACAAAAACAUAUGGAAUUCCACACUGAAAAUGGAUAAAAUUUACGGUUUAUAAAGUAUUCCUUAAUAGAGCUGGUUUUUUAAAAAAUCCUCAAAGAAUUACUUUCAAAACAAACUAGAGACAGCUAAGAGUAAACUAGACCAGAAGACAGAUGAGAAGAAAUUAUUUGGAAUGAUUCACAGAGAGACAAAAGAUGAAAAACAUGCCUGGCAGGUUAAAAGGCAUGGAGGAUAGGGUGAGAUGGUCUAACUUAUGUCCAGUCAAGGUACCAGAAGGAAACGAGAGGCUAAAUGGAGAAGGAACAACAUUCAAAGAGUUACUAGAUGAAAUUUUUCCAAUUCAAAAUCCAUGAAGUCAAGCUCAGUGAAUCUCAACCAGGAUAAGCAAAAAGAAAUCCACACUUAGAAACAACAGAACAAAGCUGCAGACCACCGAAACUGAGGAGGGGAUCCUAAAAAGCACCUUAGAGAAACAGUAGAUUCUUUUUAAGAACAAUAGCUGAUCUCCUCAGCCAUGAUGGAAGCAAGGAGAUUAUGUGUUAAAAGAAAAUAACUGCCAACCUAGAAUUCUAUGCCCAGCAAAAUAAAGAUGUAUUCACACAAGCAAAAUCAGAAAGCAUCCACCUCCAGCAGUGCAUCACCAAAGGAAAUCCAAAGGAAGCAAUCCCAGACACAGCCAUGAUAAGCAAGAACGAAUAAAGAACAUAGAUAAAUCUAAAGGAACAAUGACAUGACAAUAUAAAAGAAUAAUAAUUUUUGUCAUUAAAUAACAUAAUUGAAAUAUAUGUAAUAAUAACAUUAGUAAGGAAUGGAGAAACAAAAUUAAAAUUUCCAAAGAUCCUUCCAUAGUCUGGGAGAAUAAAGUAGAUUAAUUUCAGACUUUGAUAUGCUAUAGAUGAACACUGUGACUUCUACAGUAACCCCUAAAAGAACAGAAACAGAGUAUAACAUCCAAACAGAAGUGAAAAAAAUAAGAUGGAUGAAAAAAGAAUUUAACCCAGAGAAGGGUCAAAAAAAGGAGAGAAAAAGAAACACAGGACUAGGAGGUGAAAGAGAAGGUACAAAACAAUGCUAGGUAUUAACCUAUAUGAAAGUAAAUUCAUUUUUAAAUGUAAAUUGCUCAACUUAAAAGUCAAACGGAGUUCCCUUAUGGUGCAGCAGGUUAAGGAACUAGGGUUGUUACUAUAGCAGCUCAGGCCAUUGCUGUGAUGCAGGUCUGACCACUGCCCCAGGAGCUUCCACAUGCUCCAGACAAGGCCAAAAAAUAAAAAUAAAAAUAAAGACAAAUAUUUUCAAAUUGGAUUUUUUUAAGUCUAAUUUUUUGCUGUUUACAAUAGUUUAUAUCUAAAACAUAAGGAUCAGGAGUUCCCAUUGUGGCACAGUGGGUUAAGAAACUGACAAGUAUCCAUGACGAUGUGGGUUCAAUGCCUGGCCUUGCUCAGUAGGUUAAAGAUCUGGCACUACUGUGAGCUGUGGUGUAGGUCAUGGAGGUGGCUUGGUCUGGCAUUGCUGUGGCUGUGGUAUAGGCUGGCAGCUGCAGCACCAAUUGGACCCCUAGCCUGGGAACUUCUAUAUGGCACCAGUGUGACUCUAAAAAACAAACAAAACCUAAGUAUCAAAAAAGUUUUAGGGAGUUCCCGUCGUGGCGCAGUGGUUAAUGAAUCUGACUAGGAACCAUAAAGCUGCGGGUUCGAACCCUGGCCUCGCUUAGCAGGUUAAGGAUCCAGCGUUGCCAUGAGCUGUGGUGUAGGCCACAGACAUGGCUUGGAUCCCAUGUGGCUGUGGCGUAGGCCAGUGGCUACAGCUUCGAUUAGACCCCUAACCUAGGAACCUCCAUAUGCCAUGGGUGUGACCCUAGAAAAGGCCAAAAAAAAAAAAAAAAAAGACUAUCUAUCUACCUACCUACCUACUGACCUAUCUGUCUGUCUAUAUUCUCCAGUGGCAACUGCAAAUUCAUUAAUGGACACUAGUCAGCAAAUGCAGGAUUUGCCAAUAUCUUCCAAGCAUCUUUCUGACAACUGCCCCAGUGCUCCGGACUGCUGAGAUCACCAACAGUAGCUCCCUGCAAUUCCUACACUGGCAGAUUUCACAGCGGCCUCCCUUAUCUGCAUGUUCCAGACCUGAUGGCUGUGUAAACCCAGUCCUCCAUAGCAAAUCCUUUCCUACUGGAAAUGCCAGUAGCGAUUUAUGACUUCUUGACUAAACUCUAACUCUGCAAAUUUAAGGCACUGAAAGAAAAAAAUAAGGGAAAAUGCUAUUUAGAGUAUAACCUAGGUCAGAUUAAG
rnacentral:lncRNA from 1 species